CAGGCUGGAGUGAACAGGAACCACGAGAGGCAGGGAGGACUGUACAGGGGCUGCUGACCAGGUGGAAGAUGAUGGGAGCCUCAGAAGGUGUCAUGGGACAGGGUCAGGGAGAGGGCUCUAUGCGGCCAGGAUCUGGAUGCAGAUUGUUGGGACUGAAAUUAGGCUCAGAUCCCUUCUAGUUGAGUCUGUUUAUCUUCAGUUUCCUUGUCUAUAAAAUGGGGAGAGAUUGUGUAUCCCUGGCAUCACUGGACUGUUAGUAGCUAUUGCAUUUAUAGCAUUUAUCCCAGAACCUGAAACACAGUAAAUGCUCAGUAAGUGUUAUUAUUUGCCCCAAACUGUCUUAGUGCUUUCCCCAAGAGCUUUGUGUUGUUUGUACUAUGAGGAAUAAUGAGGGUGGUGUGGGAGUCGGCCUCUGUGUCUGCAGAGAGGACCACAGGCCACAGGAAUAGAGACAGGUAGAUAGGAUCAAGGUGACAGGAACAGAUGUUCAGAGUAAGAGAUGAGGUCACCAUCAUCAACCCAGACAAGCCAGUUGGAGGCAUCUGUCCACCCAUGUGGUUCCAGACACGUUCAUGUGGCCACCAAGACCCCGUCGGCAUCACAGGAGUAACCAAGAGAGCAGCAAGUUCCUGGGACAGAGGAGAGAGAAGGGAAUUUCCAGGUUCUUCAGGACGUUCACAACCACACUGAGAAGCAUCUUUGCAGAUAAGUAUUUAAACUUACCAGCCCAUAGCCUACCAGCCUGCCCUCUUCUGGUCUGUGCAGGAAAGUGUAGUAUCCUAGAAUACCAAAGUGGGAGGGGAAACGGGUGAUGUAGCUCAUUCUCUUUUCUACCUCUAUGGAAGAAAGAAAGAGCCUGUCCCCAUUUUGUGGGGUCCCAGAAAGGGUGAUUUUUCACACUCCACAUUUGGCAUUAGGGCUAGUAUUUUAUAAACGUCACUGUAUGGAACUUUUGAAGGCUGA
rnacentral:lncRNA from 1 species